AGCUAGUUGGUGGGGUAAAGGCCUACCAAGGCAACGAUCAGUAGCUGGUCUGAGAGGAUGAUCAGCCACACUGGGACUGAGACACGGCCCAGACUCCUACGGGAGGCAGCAGUGGGGAAUUUUCCGCAAUGGGCGAAAGCCUGACGGAGCAACGCCGCGUGAGGGAUGAAGGCCUCUGGGCUGUAAACCUCUUUUCUCAAGGAAGAAGACCUGACGGUACUUGAGGAAUAAGCCACGGCUAAUUCCGUGCCAGCAGCCGCGGUAAUACGGGAGUGGCAAGCGUUAUCCGGAAUUAUUGGGCGUAAAGCGUCCGCAGGCGACCUUGUAAGUCUGUUGUUAAAGCGUGGAGCUCAACUCCAUUUAAGCAAUGGAAACUACAAGGCUGGAGUGUGGUAGGGGCAGAGGGAAUUCCCGGUGUAGCGGUGAAAUGCGUAGAUAUCGGGAAGAACACCAGUGGCGAAGGCGCUCUGCUGGGCCAUAACUGACGCUCAUGGACGAAAGCCAGGGGAGCGAAAGGGAUUAGAUACCCCUGUAGUCCUGGCCGUAAACGAUGAACACUAGGUGUCGGGGGAAUCGACCCCCUCGGUGUCGUAGCCAACGCGUUAAGUGUUCCGCCUGGGGAGUACGCACGCAAGUGUGAAACUCAAAGGAAUUAACGGGGGCCCGCACAAGCGGUGGAGUAUGUGGUUUAAUUCGAUGCAACGCGAAGAACCUUACCAGGGUUUCACAUCCUGCGAACCCCUGAGAAAUCGGGGGGUGCCUUCGGGAGCGCAGAGACAGGUGGUGCAUGGCUGUCGUCAGCUCGUGUCGUGAGAUGUUGGGUUAAGUCCCGCAACGAGCGCAACCCACGUCUUUAGUUGCCAGCAUUCAGUUGGGCACUCUAGAGAGACCGCCGGUGAUAAACCGGAGGAAGGUGUGGAUGACGUCAAGUCAUCAUGCCCCUUACAUCCUGGGCUACACACGUACUACAAUGCUACGGACAAAGGGCAGCAAGCUCGCGAGAGUUAGCAAAUCCCAUAAACCGUGGCUCAGUUCAGAUCGUAGGCUGCAACUCGCCUACGUGAAGGAGGAAUCGCUAGUAAUCGCAGGUCAGCAUACUGCGGUGAAUACGUUCCCGGGCCUUGUACACACCGCCCGUCGCACGAUGGAAGUUGGCCAUGCCCGAAGUCGUUACUCCAACCCUUGUGGAGGAGGACGCCGAAGGUGGGGCUGAUGACUGGGGUGAAGUCGAAACAAGGUAGCCGUACCGGAAGGUGCGGCUG
rnacentral:rRNA from 1 species